rnacentral:rRNA from 1 species
UACCUACAGCUCAAGUGGUGGCCGCUAUUAUUGGGCCUAAAACGUUCGUAGCCGGUUUGGUAAAUGCCUGGGUAAAUCGUGUAGCUUAACUAUACGAAUUCCGGGUAGACUGCUAAACUUGAGACCGGGAGAAGCUAGAGGUACUCCUGGGGUAGAGGUGAAAUUCUGUAAUCCUGGGGGGACCACCAGCGGCGAAGGCGUCUAGCUAGAACGGGUUUGACGGUGAGGAACGAAGCCCUGGGGCGCAAACCGGAUUAGAUACCCGGGUAGUCCAGGGUGUAAACGCUGCUUGCUUGAUGUUAGUUGGGCUCCGAGCCCAAUUAGUGUCGGAGAGAAGUUGUUAAGCAAGCUGCCUGGGAAGUACGAUCGCAAGAUUGAAACUUAAAGGAAUUGGCGGGGAGCACAGCAACGGGUGGAGCGUGCGGUUU